AAGAUAAGAUUUCCCAUUCGUAAGAAGUAAGAUCCCUUAUAGACUAUGAGGUAGAUAGGUUGGAGGUGUAAGUGUAGCAAUACAUUCAGCUGACCAAUACUAAUAGAUCGAGGGUUUGACUUAUAAAAC
rnacentral:rRNA from 1 species